GACGAACGCUGGCGGCGUGCUUAACACAUGCAAGUCGAACGGAAAGGCCCUGCUGUUGUGGGGCGCUCGAGUGGCGAACGGGUGAGUAACACGUGAGUAACCUGCCCUUGACUUUGGGAUAACGUCAGGAAACCGGGGCUAAUACCGGAUAGGAGCUUCUGCUGCAGGGUGGGGGUUGGAAAGUUUCGGUGGUGUGGGAUGGAGUGGCGGGUUAUGGGCUUGGUGGUGGGGUAGGGGCUUACCAAGGCUUUGACGGGUAGGCGGCCUUGGAGGUGGGCCGGCCCCCUUGCUCCUACGGUAGGCCCCAGUCUCCAACGUUGGGCAGCGGUCGGAAGUCUUACCCAGCAGGCCCGCGCCUGGGGCGACGGCCCCCGGUUCGUAAUGUCCGCCUUCGGGUUAUAAACCGCUUUCGCCUGUGACGCCGCGUUCGUGACGGUAAUGUGUAAAUAAGCACCGGCUAACUACGUG
rnacentral:rRNA from 1 species